CCAAAUAUUAAGCCUAAAUCCAUUAUAACCAAAUGGAUACGGGGGAACCGAGUUACUUUGGGGCGUAUUUCUUCCAUCAUGAAGAAUAGGACUCUUCCCUGUCCGAGCCCGUCAGCUAACCUCGGCGGCGUAUGGGAGAAAUAAG
rnacentral:sRNA from 2 species